rnacentral:rRNA from 1 species
AGUGAACGCUGGCGGUAGGCCUAACACAUGCAAGUCGAACGGCAGCACAGUAAGAGCUUGCUCUUACGGGUGGCGAGUGGCGGACGGGUGAGGAAUACAUCGGAAUCUACUUUUUCGUGGGGGAUAACGUAGGGAAACUUACGCUAAUACCGCAUACGACCUACGGGUGAAAGCAGGGGAUCUUCGGACCUUGCGCGAUUGAAUGAGCCGAUGUCGGAUUAGCUAGUUGGCGGGGUAAAGGCCCACCAAGGCGACGAUCCGUAGCUGGUCUGAGAGGAUGAUCAGCCACACUGGAACUGAGACACGGUCCAGACUCCUACGGGAGGCAGCAGUGGGGAAUAUUGGACAAUGGGCGCAAGCCUGAUCCAGCCAUGCCGCGUGGGUGAAGAAGGCCUUCGGGUUGUAAAGCCCUUUUGUUGGGAAAGAAAAGCAGCAGGUUAAUACCCCGCUGUUCCGACGGUACCCAAAGAAUAAGCACCGACUAACUUCGUG